rnacentral:rRNA from 1 species
UACGUAGGGUGCAAGCGUUGUCCGGAAUUAUUGGGCGUAAAGAGCUUGUAGGCGGUUUGUCGCGUCUGCUGUGAAAUUUCGGGGCUCAACCCCGAACUUGCAGUGGGUACGGGCAGACUAGAGUGUGGUAGGGGAGACUGGAAUUCCUGGUGUAGCGGUGAAAUGCGCAGAUAUCAGGAGGAACACCCGUGGCUAAGGCGGCUCUCUAGUACGGUACUGACGCUGAGACGCGAAAGCGUGGGGAGCGAACAGG